CGGCAGUCGGAGCGGUUCGGGGGCGCUCGUGGCAGAUCGGGCACGGUCGGGCGCGCUCGGGUGCGCGUGCGUCGCUCUCGGCCCUGCAGGAAACAGGAAGUGGACUAACCGCGGGCUUCCGCUCCCAUUCGCGCCGCUCGCCGACCCGCCGGACGCGCACUGUUUCAUUCACAACUCUUGUAUUUUGUGCCGUUGAAGUAAUAUUAUCUAGUUGCGAGUAAAUGUUGUGAGCUUUAAAUUACAUACCGUACUAUCCGGAAACCUGAGCGUAACACGAUCAUGUUUACGAAACUAUCGCCGGCUAGGCUUACCGAAUAAUGUUGUGAUUUUAAUUUUCAGUAACGUUUAGUAACCUCUCACCUAAGGAUCAAUGAAUGCCGACUUUGAAGUGAACAGACAAUGUACGUCAUAUGGAUGAUUCAUGCUUCUCAUUGCUGAAAGUGUUAAGACAAGACCUGAGUCAGAACGUAACAUAGGAACUUACUUAAGGAGCGUAGCACACCAACGCUGGAGCCUGAAGGUUUCUUCUAUGAAAAAUUUGAGUAUUGGAACUAUUCAGCGUUAGACCUCUGAUUCACAAUUACGCUGGUAACCACAAAACCAAUGAGGCGAUGAACUUCUAUUUAUGAUUAAUGAGUCUUGUCUCGAACUCAUAUCAGCCAGUAUUGAUAGCAAUAAAAAAAAACUUAAAAUAAUAAAUGUAACAGGAAAAUACGCAUAAAUCAUGAAACAUGGUGGUAAUACAGUGAUACAUAUCGAUAAACUUAA